AGUAAAAUAACUGGGUCAAAUGGUUGUCCCAUUCCAAGUUUUCUGAGGAAUCUCCAUACUACUUUCCAGAUUGGUUACAUCAAUUUGUAGUCCCACCAGUAAU
rnacentral:pre_miRNA from 1 species